rnacentral:rRNA from 1 species
GAUGAACGCUGGCGGCGUGCCUAAUACAUGCAAGUCGAGCGGUAAGGCCUCUUCGGAGGUACACGAGCGGCGGACGGCUGAGUAACGCGUAGGAAUGUACCCCAAAGUGAGGGAUAAGCACCAGAAAUGGUGUCUAAUACCGCAUGUGAUCCACGGAUUAAAGCUUUAUGCGCUUUGGGAACAGCCCGCGCCCGAUUAGCUAGUUGGUAGUGUAAUGGGCUACCAAGGCGAUGAUCGGUAGCUGGUCUGAGAGGAUGAUCAGCCAGACUGGGACUGAGACACGGCCCAGACUCCCACGGGAGGCAGCAGUAGGGAAUUUUCCACAAUGGGGGCAACCCUGAUGGAGCAACGCCGCGUGCAGGAUGAAUGCCUUCGGGUUGUAAACUGCUUUUAUCUGUGACGAUUAUGACGGUAGCAGAUGAAUAAGGACCUGCUAACUACGUGCCAGCCGCCGCGGUAA